rnacentral:rRNA from 1 species
UACGGAGGGGGCCAGCGUUGUUCGGAAUUAUUGGGCGUAAAGGGCGCGUAGGCGAUCGGGUAAGUCUGACGUGAAAUCCCUUGGCUCAACCAAGGAACUGCGUCUUAAACUGCCCGGCUUGAGUCCGGGAGAGGGUAGUGGAAUUCCCAGUGUAGCGGUGAAAUGCGUAGAUAUUGGGAGGAACACCGGUGGCGAAGGCGGCUACCUGGACCGGUACUGACGCUGAGGCGCGAAAGCUAGGGUAGCAAACAGG